UGNGGGAAAUUUUGGACAAUGGGCGCANNCNUGAUCCAGCCAUGCCGUGUGCAGGAUGAAGGCCUUCGGGUUGUAAACUGCUUUUGUACGGAACGAAAAGUCUCUUUCUAAUAAAGAGGGAUCAUGACGGUACCGUAAGAAUAAGCACCGGCUAACUACGUGCCAGCAGCCGCGGUAAUACGUAGGGUGCAAGCGUUAAUCGGAAUUACUGGGCGUAAAGCGUGCGCAGGCGGUGAUGUAAGACAGUUGUGAAAUCCCCGGGCUCAACCUGGGAACUGCAUCUGUGACUGCAUCGCUGGAGUGCGGCAGAGGGGGAUGGAAUUCCGCGUGUAGCAGUGAAAUGCGUAUAUAUGCGGAGGAACACCGAUGGCGAAGGCAAUCCCCUGGGCCUGCACUGACGCUCAUGCACGAAAGCGUGGGGAGCAAACAGGAUUAGAUACCCUGGUAGUCCACGCCCUAAACGAUGUCAACUGGUUGUUGGGAAUCCACCUUCUCAGUAACGAAGCUAACGCGUGNAAGUUGACCCGCCUGGGGGAGUACGGCCNNCAAGGUUNG
rnacentral:rRNA from 1 species